AUGCAGGAGGUGAAGUCUGUUUUGGAGAUUACUCAGGAGGUUUUUAAACCAAAAUACUUGGGCUUGCCGGUCCCUGAAGGAAGAAUACAUAAGGAUAGGUUUGAAACUACUCAAGACCGCUUGCGAAAGAGGCUUGUUGAUUGGAGUGAGCAAUACAUGUCCUCGGGCAAUAAGGAGAUCCUUAUCAAGGCCGUUGCCCAGGCCAUUCCUACGUAUGUGAUGAGCGUUUUCAAGCUCCCAACGUCAGUAUGUGAUGAGCUCACACGUAUGAUUCACCAAUAUUGGUGGGGCGUUGAGAAGGGGAAGAGGAAGAUGGCAUGGAUGAGCUGGGACAAGCUGAGGCUUCCCAAGUCCAUGGGGGGUAUGGGCUUCCGCGACAUGAGAUGUUUUAAUCAAGCUUUGUUAGCUAAACAAGCGUGGAGACUCCUGGACUCCCCCAAUAGCCUGUGCUCAAGAUUGUUAAAGGCCAAGUAUUACCCACAUGGCCAGUUAUUGGACACUGUCUUCCCAAACAGUGGUUCGAAGGUAUGGAAGGGAAUUUUACACGGUCUUGAACUGGUG
rnacentral:rRNA from 1 species